GGGAGUGGUUAAAUGUUAAAUUUUACGAUGUACGUAUUUAACCCCCACACGCCCCAAACAAAUCUGACAAAAGUUAAAGACCAUUCCCUAGGUGUAGCUCUGUUCCUACAUGCAAAAUUUUACAUAUUGUUCCAGGGAGCUCACGGUCUUCUCAGGUUCAUCUGUGGAACCAUUCGACAACCAAAUGUUAUGGGGAAGCCAGUCUCAUGAGCUCCAACACAUUCUUCAGUGCAAUCAGUGGCAAUCCCUGCCCACUUAGGACUUUUCGAAUAGUGCUCAUCCCUGACUUCUGGAUAAACUUCUUUGCAGAAGCCCAUUUGACUCCAAGGACAGAAAAAAAGAGUGCAGGUUGUUAUUAUGCAAAGCCACAGCAUUAAGGAGCUCAAUAUUCUUCUAGAUAUCUGCCCUCCUGUCUGAGAAUCCCAUACUUAGAGUAUAGCAGGUCCCAUCUCCAUUUGGGAUGGUGGUGGUGGAAAAGGGGGCGUCUCUGAUGAGCAGAGCAUCUUUAAUGCCUGCUCAGGCCAGAGCCCCUUUCCAAAGACUUCGAGACUGCCGUGGGCCUGCUGACUCCUCUCACGCUUUCAAGCUACAGUGCUUCCCAUCACAUUGCAGAAGGCCGCCUUGGGUCAUAUCUCGCAAAGGAAGAGCUAUUAACAAAUAUUCCAUUUGUAUUUCCUGCGUGGCCCUCCAUCUGGAAAUAUCUUUUAUCUGGCAACUUUUGCAAAAUGAACCAAAUCUUGAAGGAGGUCUUGGCAGGUUUAUGCUAGCCUCUCUAUCACUCCAACAAGUCAUUUCCAUCCUCGCCUUCACAAGGGUCAAGCAAUUGUGACUUGGGUUGGGAGACGGGGCUGGCACGGAAUGGUAGCAAGUCAUCUAGGCUCUGAGGCAUCUUUUUAACCCUGAAAACGUCCACUUGGAGGGCAAGAGCCAAAUCUAAAAAAUUAUUAUACACACUGUCUCUCAGCUCAAAUAUGUAUGCUCUCACUCCAAGUUCAGAUCACAAUUUACAAUUCCGCAUUUUGUAAUUGUUAAGUGCAGUCUGGCUUCCCCAAAGACCUCAAGCUCAUUCUGCCCAGGAUUAAAUCCAAGAGCCUUCUUAGCCCAGUUUCUGGCAUGCAGGAAGCAUACAAUAAUGGAAGAAAUGAAUGAAUGAACAAA
ensembl:lncRNA novel transcript, antisense to LMO2